rnacentral:snRNA from 1 species
UGUGUGUCCUGGCAGGGCAGACACCGUGAUCAGGCAGGUGGUUUUCCCAGGGCGAGGCUCAUCCCCUGCACUCCAGGUCUGCUGACCCCUGCGAUUUCCCCAAAUGCGGGAAACUCAACUGCAUAAUUUGUGGUAGUGGGGGACUGCGUUCACGCUCUCCCCUU